rnacentral:lncRNA from 1 species
AUGGGGGGCGGCCCUGGGCCCUUUGCGAUCUCCGGACUUUCGGACUUAGAGAAAUUAGAGCAUCCGAUUCUCCGGACUUUUGGACUUAGAAAAAUUAGGACAUCCUCUCUCCAACACGCUACAGAGAUGCGUGUCGUAGCCCAUCGGGGCAAAGAAGACUACUGGCUGUGGGACCAUUUGAUGAGAAUAUCCUGGCUGUGGGACCAUUUGAUGAGAAUAUCCUGGCUGUGGGACCAUUUGAUGAGACCGACCCUCCGUGCCCGAGGAGAGAUAGAGCUACCGUCGACACCGGGGAAGCGUAGUGUAGAGAGGAGAGAUAGGGAUUCCCUCUCUUUUCCUCUGUCAACACCGGCGUGGAACGCCAGCGCUGCUCACUUCUCGACGAUACGGAGCGGCCCGUAUCAGAUAGGGGCCAUCAACAUUCAACAACAUUCCAGCGCAGCUCACCCUCCCCAAUCUGAAUCAGUGCGGGGGCCGACGGCAGGGGAACAACGGCCUUUCUCUUCACACAGCUGAGGGGAGUGUUGGAUGUAGUGUAGAGAG